GGGUUGUGAGGUUAAGCGACUAAGCGUACACGGUGGAUGCCCUGGCAGUCAGAGGCGAUGAAGGACGUGCUAAUCUGCGAUAAGCGCCGGUAAGGUGAUAUGAACCGUUAUAACCGGCGAUUUCCGAAUGGGGAAACCCAGUGUGAUUCGUCACACUAUCAUUACGUGAAUACAUAGCGUAAUGA
rnacentral:rRNA from 1 species